rnacentral:rRNA from 1 species
AUUGAACGCUGGCGGCAUGCUUUACACAUGCAAGUCGAACGGUAACAGGCCUUCGGUUGUUGACGAGUGGUGAACGGGUGAGUAAUGCAUCCGAACGUACCCCGUGGUUGUGGAUAUCGCAGCGAAAGCUGUGCUAAUACCUCAUGUGAUCUGAUGUUUAAAGCGGGGGACCUAGCAGCAAUGUUUGGCCUUGCGCCUUUGUAGUGGCCGAUGUCGGAUUAGCUAGUUGGUUGGGUAAAGGCCUACCAAGGCGACGAUCCGUAGCUGGUCUGAGAGGACGACCAGCCACACUGGGACUGAGACACGGCCCAGACUCCUACGGGAGGCAGCAGUGGGGAAUUUUGGACAAUGGGCGCAAGCCUGAUCCAGCAAUGCCGCGUGAGGGAAGAAGGCCUUCGGGUUGUAAAACGCUUUUGGCAGGAAAGAAAAGGUGUCCACUAAUACCGGGCGCUAAUGACGGUACCUGAAGAAUAAGCACCGGCUAACUACGUG